UGUGGUGUGGCUCAGCGGUAGAGCGCUCACCUAGCAUGUGUGAGGCUCUGGAUUUGAUCCUCAGCACCACAU
rnacentral:tRNA from 1 species